UUGAACAUUGAAGAAUAUUUUCCAAUAAACCUCCUCUCGAAAGAACUCCUCUCAUAAUAAGUAAAGGCUCUAAUCAUCCAUUGACAUGUCAACUAUUUUCUAUAUGAAAGUGUUACAAGAUGGGUUCUGAGUUCUAACAAAACUGUUAUGGACUAAGAAGAAUUGAACAGAUUUUGGUUUUAUCCAUUCCUUACUAGCUAAUUCAUAUUCACAAUCAUACAAGCCC
rnacentral:lncRNA from 1 species